UGUACUGGUGCCAAGGGCCAAGCCUAUACAGUUCAAUAUGAACCUAUGGCCUGGACCCAGUAAUCAACACUGCUCUGGUCAUUUCUUGGUUCCUGUUAAGUUGCAGUUAGAGUUAGGAACUACCUGUAGAUAGUCUCUCAUUUGAGCCUUUCUAUAGUUCUGAAGAAAUUAAUGUUAUUCUGGAGUUUACAGAUGAGGAAAGCAGCCCACUUGCCCAGGUUACACAACUGUAUGUAGUCGGCUUCACACUGAUCCCAGGUUUUCCAGCUUACUUCUCAAGCAGGUGUGAUGGCACAUGCCUGUGGUCCAAAUACUAGGGAGAAUGAGGCAGGGGAUUUAUGUGAGUUCCGGCCAGUUUGACUUGCAAAGUUCCUGUCUCAAAACUGUUAAAAGGGAAUCCUGUUUCAAGCCUGUAAUCAUAGCGUUGGGAAUGCUAAGGCAGAAUCCCAUAGUUGAGGGCAGCCUGAGUUAGAUAGAGAAACACUGCCAAACUCAAAAAUAUUCAGUCUGAGGAUGACUUAAUAUUGACUUUGUAAGAAGUAUACUCUUGGAAAUAGGUGCUAAGCAAAUAGUGUUUGGGACCUCUAAGCUUAUGUGACCGGAGUUUUACUCUUUUGUCCUUAAUUUUCUCAUUUUCUUUUGACUGGUGAAAAGUUGCAGUGUAAGUUAGAAUUUGGCUCGAAGCCUGCUUCCUUAGUUGAAUGCCCUGUGUUUUGUUUUUUUUUUUUUUUUUGAGCACUUCAAAAAGUAUGAUAUAUAGUUCCUUAAUGUUAGGACUCUAUAUACCUUCAGAGGCAUGUGUGUUGGGAUUGAAAUUCAAAUUCUGAUCAUGUGAAAAUGGCACUAGUUGUUAGAGGAAGUCUCUCCUUCAAUCUCAGCAUUUACUUACAUACUAACUGAAGAGAAAAUCACGUCUCCUAGUUCUUUGUAAACAGUGUUUACUGAUUUGUAUGCUUAUUCACAAGCCUUUUUAUGUGACCAUGACUAAUUUUUUUCCUUAAAAAUAAUAAAAUGAUUGUCUUUCUGGGUUUUGAUUUUUUUUUACCAUGUAAAACAAUUUUAUACAUAAUCAACACAAAACCUUGCAUAUAUGUGCUCCUUUUACAGUUAAUCAGGUGAUUAGAUAUACAUUUUCUCUUUUGUUGUUUGACAACAAUAUGUGAAGAGUUUCUAUUUUUAUAAGACUAGCUUCACUCUGUUGCCUAAGCUGGGUUCAAACUCACACUGGCUGGCCUUAACCUCCAGAGUGCUAUGAUUGGCAGUGUAAGCCACCAUUCAUUGAUUUUAUCAUAUUAAAGAGUUUUUAUCUUAGUUCCAUAUGAACUCAUAUUUUAACUAGUUAUUAUCCCCUAACUCCCCAGUAUUCCUUCAUUGGGAUCUGUAGGCUUUUCUUUAUAUUUUUACCUCCGUAUGACAGUUCCCCAAUAGUUGCAUAAAACUAGCAAACAUUUCUGUUUUAGGUUUUUUGAAGAAAUCAACUUGAAGCUGUCAAGUCUGAGUUAUAUUUUGUUAUAUUUUCUCCAUAUGGCAUUCCAGGGUGGUUCACCAUGGUGCAAUGUGUUAGUCCUUUACAGAGUGACUUACAGAGUCAUCAACAACUCAAAGCUUUCCCAAAAUGUGGUUUCAUGUGACUUGGAAUGAUCUUAAAACCUAGACAGUGGUUGUGCAAGAGCAGCACACACAGCCUAUAAAAACCUUGUUUCAUUUGUCUAAAUCAGUUUGAUGUUUGGAUUUUCUAUGUAACUAUGUAUUGUUUUUUAUAUUGCGAUUUUGUAAGCUACAUUUACCAAAAAUAAAAGUAUUUGAAAUG
rnacentral:lncRNA from 1 species